AUUGAACGCUGGCGGCAGGCCUAACACAUGCAAGUCGAACGGUAACAGGAAACAGCUUGCUGUUUCGCUGACGAGUGGCGGACGGGUGAGUAAUGUCUGGGAAACUGCCUGAUGGAGGGGGAUAACUACUGGAAACGGUAGCUAAUACCGCAUAACGUCGCAAGACCAAAGAGGGGGACCUUCGGGCCUCUUGCCAUCGGAUGUGCCCAGAUGGGAUUGGCUUGUUGGUGGGGUAACGGCUCACCAAGGCGACGAUCCCUAGCUGGUCUGAGGGGAUGACCAGCCACAAUGGAACUGAGACACAGUCCAGACGCCUACGGGAGGCAGCAGUGGGGAAUAUUGCGCAAUGGGCGCAAGCCUGAUGCAGCCAUGCCGCGUGUAUGAAGAAGGCCUUCGGGUUGUAGAGUACUUUCAGCGGGGAGGAAGUGAGUAAAGUUAAUACCUUUACUCAUUGACGUUACCCGCAGAAGAAGCACCGGCUAACUCCGUGCCAGCCGCCGCAGUAA
rnacentral:rRNA from 1 species